GACGAACGCUGGCGGCGUGCUUAACACAUGCAAGUCGAGCGGAAAGGCCCUUCGGGGUACUCGAGCGGCGAACGGGUGAGUAACACGUGAGCAACCUGCCCUUAGCUUUGGGAUAACCCU
rnacentral:rRNA from 1 species